CACGUAGUUAGCCGGGGCUUCUUAUUCAGGUACCGUCAUUUCUUUCGUCCCUGUUGAUAGAAGUUUACGAGCCGAAACCCUUCUUCCUUCACGCGGCGUUGCUGCAUCAGGCUUUCGCCCAUUGUGCAAUAUUCCCCACUGCUGCCUCCCGUAGGAGUUUGGGCCGUGUCUCAGUCCCAAUGUGGCCGGUCACCCUCUCAGGUCGGCUACUGAUCGUCGCCUUGGUGGGCUGUUAUCUCACCAACUAGCUAAUCAGAUGCGGGCCCAUCCUGCACCGAAUAAAUCCUUUCUUUCCCGGAAGAUGCCUCCCAGGAACCGUAUGCGGUAUUAGUCAUCGUUUCCAAUGAUUAUUCCCCAGUGCAGGGCAGGUUGCCCACACGUUACUCACCCGUCCGCCACUAAGAUAAGAAAAAUUCCUGCCGAAGCUCUCAUUCUUAAUAUCUUCGUUCGACUUGCAUGUGUUAAGCACGCCGCCAGCGUUCAUCCUGAGCCAGGAUCAAACUCUACG
rnacentral:rRNA from 1 species